rnacentral:rRNA from 1 species
CCUACGGGAGGCAGCAGUGAGGAAUAUUGGUCAAUGGACGCAAGUCUGAACCAGCCAUGCCGCGUGCAGGAAGACGGCUCUAUGAUUUGUAAACUGCUUUUGUAGGGGGGUAAAUGUACAUACGGGUAUCUGUCUCAAAGUAUCGUACGAUUAAGGAUCGGCUAAUCCCGCUCCAGCAGCCACGGUAAUACGGAGGGUUGAAGCGUUAUCCGGAUGUAUUGGGUUUAAAGGGUGCGGAGGUGGUCGUGUAAGUUAGAGGUGAAAUCCCGGGGCUCAACUUCGGAAUUGCCUGGGAUACUGGUAGGCUAGAGGGUGGUUGCGGUAGGCGGAAUGUAUGGUGUAGCGGUGAAAUGCUUAGAGAUCAUGAAGAACACCGAUUGCGAAGGCAGCUUACUAAGCUAUUACUGACGUUGAGGCACGAAAGCGUGGGGAGCAAACAGGAUUAGAUACCCCUGUAGUC